rnacentral:rRNA from 1 species
GUUAAGAAUCUUGGACAAUGGACGAAAGUCUGAUCCAGCGACGCCGCGUGAACGAUGAAGGUCUUCGGAUUGUAAAGUUCAGUAAGAUGGGACGAAGAAGCUGAAGAUAAUACCUUCAGUGGUGACGGUACCAUCCUAAAGCCUCGGCUAAAUACGUGCCAGCAGCCGCGGUAAUACGGAGGAUCCAAGCGUUAUCCGGAAUCAUUGGGUUUAAAGGGUCCGGAGGCGGUUUAAUAAGUCAGUGGUGAAAGCCCAUCGCUCAACGAUGGAACGGCCAUUGGUACUGUUAGACUUGAAUUACAAGGAAGUAACUAGAAUAUGUAGUGUAGCGGUGAAAUGCUUAGAUAUUACAUGGAAUACCAAUUGCGAAGGCAGGUUACUACUUGUGGAUUGACGCUGAUGGACGAAAGCGUGGGGAGCGAACAGGAUUAGAAACCCCGGUAGUCC